rnacentral:rRNA from 1 species
AUUGAACGCUGGCGGCAGGCCUAAAACAUGCACGUCGAGCGGAGCGGCUGACGGGUGAGUAAUGCCUAGGACUCUGCCUUGUAGUGGGGGAUAACGUCCGGAAACGGGCGCUAAUCCCGCAUACUAUCAGAUGAGCCUAGGUCGGAUUAGUUAGUUGGUGGGGUAAAGGCCUACCAAGGCGACGAUCCGUAACUGGUCUGAGAGGAUGAUCAGUCAAACUGGAACGGAGACACGGUCCAGACUCCUACGGGAGGCAGCAUUGGGGAAUAUUGGACAAGGGGCGAAAGCAUGAUCCAGCCAUGCCGCGUGUGUGAAGAAGGUCUUCGGAUUGUAAAGCACUUUAAGUUGGGAGGCGUUACCAACAGAAGAAGCACCGGCGAACUUCGUGCCAGCAGCCGCGGUAAAA